rnacentral:rRNA from 1 species
AUUGAACGCUGGCGGCAGGCUUAACACAUGCAAGUCGAGCGAGCGGCGGACGGGUGAGUAAUGUCUGGGAAACUGCCUGAUGGAGGGGGAUAACUACUGGAAACGGUAGCUAAUACCGCAUACCAUCAGAUGGGCCCAGAUUGGAUUAGCUAGUAGGUGGGGUAAUGGCUCACCUAGGCGACGAUCCAUAGCUGGUGUGAGCGGAUGACCAUCCACACUGGAACUUAGACACGGUCCAGACUCCUACGGGAGGCAGCAGUGGGGAAUAUUGCACAAUGGGCGAAAUCCUGAUGCAGCCAUGCCGCGUGUGUGAAGAAGGCCUUCGGGUUGUAAAGCACUUUCAGCGAGGAGGCGUUAUUAGCAGAAGAAGCACCGGCUAACUCCGUGCCAGCAGCCGCGGUAAUUC